rnacentral:rRNA from 1 species
UGGGGAAUAUUGGACAAUGGGCGAAAGCCUGAUCCAGCAAUACCGCGUGUGUGAAGAAGGCCCUAGGGUUGUAAAGCACUUUCAAUUGGGAGGAAAACCUACCGGUCAAUACCCGGUAGCUUGACAUUACCUUUAGAAGAAGCACCGGCUAACUCCGUGCCAGCAGCCGCGGUAAUACGUAGGGUGCGAGCGUUAAUCGGAAUUACUGGGCGUAAAGGGUGUGCAGGCGGGUAUGUAAGUUAGAUGUGAAAUCCACGAGCUCAACUUGUGGCUGGCAUAUAAUACUGCGUACCUAGAGUUUGUCAGAGGGGGGUAGAAUUCCAAGUGUAGCAGUGAAAUGCGUAGAGAUUUGGAGGAAUACCGGUGGCGAAGGCGGCCCCCUGGGAUAGAACUGACGCUCAAACACGAAAGCGUGGGUAGCAAACAGG